AUAGAACAUAUGUUCACAUUUUAUAAUUGAAGCCUAAGCUCGAUUUUUCGAUCUCCGAAGACACAAUGGUGAGAGAAGUAUCGGAAAGCUGUGUGGAGAGUUUGCUUGCGGAGAUAGUGCUAUCGUAUUGCUCAGGCUUCUACGCCAACAAGCCCGAGCUCGCAGCGCGGAGGAUCGAGGCCAUCGGCUUUCAGGUCGGUCACCAAUUAAGUGAAAGGUACACAAUGGAUCGACCAAGGUUCACCGAUAACCUAGAUGCCAUCAAGUUUAUCUGCAAGGACUUUUGGUCCGAACUCUUCAAGAAACAGAUAGAUAACUUAAAGACAAAUCAUAGAGGUACUUUUGUAUUGCAAGAUAAUCGAUUUCGAUGGCUAGCACAUAUGUCUGUUGACCCAUCAGUUCAAGCAUCUGGCAAUAUUCAAGAUCCUUCAGCAAUGGCAGAAAACAAAUCAGCUCAGGCUACUGGAAUGCACCUCUACUUUCCUUGUGGAAUCAUCAGAGGAGCACUUUCAAACUUGGGAAUCGAAUGUGCAGUUUCUGCAGAUAUAUCCAACCUCCCAGCAUAGUAUUAUUUUCUAAUCAGAACACGAUAAACAUUUUGAAUUGCAUGAUGUCCAAGAUAGAUCCAGGACUACUAAGUCCAAAGUUACAUCCGAUUUAUUCCUCCUCCAUAGUUCUUGAUCAAUCCUCAUCUAGCAAGUCAUUUAUCGUUCCUUUGUUAUCAGAAUAAAGGCAUGAUAGUCCAUUGAAAUGGUGCCGGAGUUGCUGGCUGAUGCUUGUGUUGAAACUUCUUUUCUUUCUUGCAGUUGUAAAUCGUACUUGUACACCACCUACUCUAUCUUUCUGUUACUCAUGCAUGACUGAAGCUGUCUUAUUUACGCAAUUGUUAUCAGAAAAAUGGUUAUUUCAAUCUGCCGUGCCUUCUUUCUAGACUUCGGUUUUGUAAAGACUAUUGCUUUGAAUUGUUAGACAGAGAUGCGUAAUAAUCUCAGGCGAAGUUCCAUGCUA